AAGAAAAAAAAAAAAUGAAGCUGACUUCAGCCUCCACACGCAUGUCUGCAUUAUCAUAUCUGCUGAAAAGCAACAAAAGAUCUCUGCAAGUUGAGACAAAUCUGUCAAUGAGUAUCCAAGAAAGCUUACAGAUGAUGAACAGGAACUACAAGUCCAACAUAAAGCUCGGAGAGGUCAGCAGUAACUUUUUCAUCAAGUGGAGCCACAUUUUGAUCAGGUCUGAUUUGACUUGUUCUCUUCAAAACUGUGUACUUAACAAGGAGGCAUUGGUCUCACAGUCUCACUGCAAGGCUAAAAAACAACUAGCUUUAAAUCUCCAGGCAUAG
rnacentral:lncRNA from 1 species